rnacentral:rRNA from 1 species
AGCGAACGCUGGCGGCAGGCUUAACACAUGCAAGUCGAACGCAUCCUUCGGGGUGAGUGGCAGACGGGUGAGUAACGCGUGGGAACAUGCCCUUUGGUUCGGAAUAACUCAGGGAAACUUGAGCUAAUACCGGAUAAGCCCUUUUGGGGAAAGAUCUAUCGCCGAAGGAUUGGCCCGCGUCCGAUUAGCUAGUUGGUGAGGUAAUGGCUCACCAAGGCGACGAUCGGUAGCUGGUCUGAGAGGAUGAUCAGCCACACUGGGACUGAGACACGGCCCAGACUCCUACGGGAGGCAGCAGUGGGGAAUAUUGGACAAUGGGGGCAACCCUGAUCCAGCCAUGCCGCGUGAGUGAUGAAGGCCCUAGGGUUGUAAAGCUCUUUCGGCGGGGACGAUAAUGACGGUACCCGCAGAAGAAGCCCCGGCUAACUUCGUGCCAGCCGCCGCCGUAA